UUGGAUGUCUGAAAGCAUCAUUCUUUUUUUUAUUUGAUGGUCUUAUAAAAUAUUUUGGAACGUUAAGGUUACAUAGUUACCAAAGCAGGUAACCAGUGAAUAACAGUGUUAAAAUUGGGUUGUUAACUUCCGGUGUUGGUUACUUUCUUAUAUGCAAUUAAAUGUAGUGUGAAAUGUUCACUGUAUCACUGGAAAGGAUUAAAC
rnacentral:lncRNA from 1 species